rnacentral:lncRNA from 1 species
CCUGAUCCAAGGGCCCCUUGCCCCACCAGCGUUGGGUCAGGCCAUCCCGUCUCUGCCCUCCCCUCCCCCUGCAUGCAUGAAUCUUGGUCUGUGGGGCUGCGUGCGUGUGUGAGCGUGCAUACCCGCGGGGCCUUUCUCUUUUUCCCUUUUGUUCUGCUCUGACCUCUACCUGGUACCGACAGGGCUGAGGGUGCAGGAGCUUCCUGCAGCUUCGGCCGGGCAAGGUGUGCAGCUGGGCUCUGUCUCCUUAACUCUGCAUCAGCGCUCUCUCUCUCUCUCUCUCUCUCUCUCUCUCUCUCUCUCUCUCUCUCUCUCUCUCUCUCUCUCUCUCUCUUACCCUCCCCUCCCCUUUCUCUCCCCCCCUUCCUCCUUCUCUCUCAAGAUUUCCCUGCUGCUAAGUCUGCGCUGCUGCAGGAGGGCUGGGGGAAGGGCAGGGGUGCGGAGUCGGGGUGUCUUCUUUCUCUCUCUCUCUCUGCCCCCCCCUCCCCACCAAGUGCGGACGCAAUGGGAGCUCCGGCCCGCCCCCACCCCUGCAUUUGCGAUUGGCUCCGGGAGGAGGUGGCUACCGCUGCUGCCGCUGCUGCAGCAUCUCCCGGGGAGCCGCGACCCUGCGCCCGCCGCCACGGCUGCCGCGGUCACCAGCCCAGCCCGAGGGGCGCCCAGGGCUCCCUGGAGCUGGGACUGCCCUGCAGCCCCACACCAGGUCCAAGCCCAGCCAGACCCUCUGUGCCUGCACCACCUCUCCUGCAGUGGGUGUCUCCAGCUCUUUCUGUAGGUAGCCGCCUGCAGGGACACCUGUUCCAGGGUUCCAGCACUUUACCUGCAGGCUCACCUUGGGUGAUGAAAGAGGCACUGAGACCUUCUCUCGGGGACUCUCAUUUUGGGAAACAAUUCAUCAGGGUCCUGCCAGGGGAGCCAUCGCCUGUCCAGGGAGGGACGGCAGUGUGGGUCCUAGGAGAGCAUCCAAGUAGCCAGUGCCAUGGGUAACAGGGAUCACAACUAGAUGGAGUGAAGACCCCCUUGGACAGAGAGUCGACCCCGAUCCCAAUCUUGUGCUCUUGCCCCACCUGGGUUAUGAGAAGCUCUGCUCAUCUCUGACCAAGAUUCUCAAGUUUAUGAAUGGACCCAAACAACAUUGUCCUCCCAAGGUCCUCAAGUUUAUGAACGAACCCAAAUAUCAUUGUCCUGCCAUCCAUAAUUGCUCCUAUCCUAUGUCCCUUGAAUGGCACUCUUCAAGCCUUGUUGGCCGAGACUUUCCUGGUGUUCCUAUGGCCUGACUGUGGGCUGACUGAAGUCAUUCUGAUUUCUGAAAGUUCAAGAUGACAACAGGGUCUGGCUUCCUGCAAUUCUUCAUGGUCCUUUGGGGAGUCUACCCCCACUUCAUACUCUUUGAUCCUUGUCUGUCUUACCACUUGUCUUAGUUAGGGUUUUUCUGCUGUGAACAGACACCAUGACCAAGGCAACUUUUAUAAGCACCAUGUUUAACUGGGGCUGGCUUACAGGAUUAGAGGUUCAGUUCAUUAUUGUCAAGGCAGGAACAUGGCAGUGUCCAGGCAGGCAUGGUGCAGGAGGAGCUGAGAGUUCUACAUCUUGUUCCAAAGGGAAACAGAAGAUUGGCAUCCAGGGAGCUAGGAUGACGGUCUUAAAGCCCACGCCCAUAAUGACACACCUCUUCCAACAAGGCCACACUUCCUAAUAGUGGCUCUAAAGACCACUAUUAAAGACUCCCUUGGGCCAAGCAUAUUCAAACUAUCAUACCACCUCUGCCCCAGGUGUCCUCAGCUUCCUGAUCAUGACCCUUGCAAGUGACUACUGUAUCCUGGAUCAUGGAGUCACAUGUCAUGGCCUCUCAGAUCCCCUCCUUCAUCCUGGUCCUUGAGAUGAGUUUGUAGAAGAUACCAGAAGGUAAAUGCUGAGAGCAGAGGUCUGAGAGGUUGUGGCUGGAUAGAUGACAGCCUGGUUAGGUCUAGAAGGUGGGACCCUGGAGCUCUGAAUGCAACUAAAGAUUUGAACCCACUC